GAUGAACGCUGGCGGCGUGCCUAAUACAUGCAAGUCGAGCGAACAGACGAGGAGCUUGCUCCUCUGACGUUAGCGGCGGACGGGUGAGUAACACGUGGAUAACCUACCUAUAAUACUGGGAUAACUUCGGGAAACCGGAGCUAAUACCGGAUAAUAUAUUGAACCGCAUGGUUCAAUAGUGAAAGACGGUUUUGCUGUCACUUAUAGAUGGAUCCGCGCCGCAUUAGCUAGUUGGUAAGGUAACGGCUUACCAAGGGAACGAUGCGUAGCCGAACUGAGAGGGUGAGCGGCGAAACGGGAACGGAGACAGGGACCAGAGUAAGACGGGAGGAAGCAGUAGGGAAUAUUGCGCAAUGGGCGAAAGCAUGACGGAGCAACGCCGCGGGAGUGAAGAAGGUCUUGGGAUCGUAAAACUAUGUUAUUAGGGAAGAACAAAAGUGUAAGUAACUAUGCACGUCUUGACGGUAACUAAACAGAAAGCAACGGCUAACUACGUG
rnacentral:rRNA from 1 species